rnacentral:rRNA from 1 species
UGAAUACGAGACGCUAAGGCGUCGAAGUAGUGUAUAUCAGACUUCCAAGAAAAGCUUGCACUGUCAUAGAUAAAAAAUGCCUGUACCAUAACCGACACAGGUGGGUAGGUAGAGUAUACUAAGGGGCGCGAGAUAACUCUCUCUAAGGAACUCGGCAAAAUAACUCCGUAACUUCGGGAGAAGGAGUGCCUUAUUUAUAAGGUUGCAAUAACAAGAUCCAAGUAACUGUUUAUCAAAAACACAGGUCUCCGCUAAGUCGUAAGACGAUGUAUGGGGGCUGACGCCUGCCCAGUGCCAGAAGGUUAAAGAAGUUGGUUAGCAAUUGCGAAGCUGAUAACUGAAGCCCUGGUGAACGGCGGCCGUAACUAUAACGGUCCUAAGGUAGCGAAAUUCCUUGUCGGGUAAGUUCCGACCCGCACGAAAGGCGUAAUGAUUUGGAUACUGUCUCGGAGAGGGGCUCGGUGAAAUAGACUUGUCUGUGAAGAUGCGGACUACCUGCACCAGGACAGAAAGACCCUAUGAAGCUUUACUGUAACUUGAAAUUGAAAUUGGACUUUAUUCGCGCAGCAUAGGUGGGAGGCGUUGAUUAUAAUCUUGCGGGAUUAUUGGAGCCAUCAGUGAGAUACCACUCUUGUAAUGUUAGAUUUCUAACUUUGAAUCAUUAUCUGGUCAAAGAACAGUUUCAGGCGGGCAGUUUGACUGGGGCGGUCGCCUCCUAAAUGGUAACGGAGGCGUACAAAGGUUUCCUCUGAACGGUUAGAAAUCGUAUCUAGAGUGUAAAGGCAUAAGGAAGCUUGACUGUGAGACCUACAAGUCGAGCAGGGACGAAAGUCGGUCUUAGUGAUCUGACGGUACUGAGUGGAAAGGCCGUCACUCAACGGAUAAAAGUUACUCUAAGGAUAACAGGCUGAUCUCCCCCAAGAGUUCACAUCGACGGGGAGGUUUGGCACCUCGAUGUCGGCUCAUCGCAUCCUGGGGCGGUAGUACGUCCCAAGGGUUGGGCUGUUCGCCCAUGAAAGCGGUACGCGAGCUGGGUUCAGAACGUCGUGAGACAGUUCGGUCCAUAUCCGGUGUAGGCGUUAGAAUAUUGAGAGGAGCCUUCUUUAGUACGAGAGGACCGAGAAGGACAUACCUCUGGUGUACCAGUUAUCGUGCCAACGGUAAACGCUGGGUAGCUAUGUAUGGAGUGGAUAACCGCUGAAAGCAUCUAAGUGGGAAGCCCACCUCAAGAUAAG